GACGAACGCUGGCGGCGUGCUUAACACAUGCAAGUCACGGGGGCCCGCAAGGGUAACCGGCGAACGGGUGCGUAACACGUGAGCAAUCUGCCGUACACUGGGGAUAGCCGGCCCAACGGCCGGGUAAUACCGCAUACGUUCCUCGCCUGGCAUCAGGUGGGGAGGAAACCUCCGGGGGUGUACGAGGAGCUCGCGGCCUAUCAGCUAGUUGGUGGGGUAACGGCCUACCAAGGCGAUGACGGGUAGCUGGUCUGAGAGGAUGGCCAGCCACAUUGGGACUGAGAUACGGCCCAGACUCCUACGGGAGGCAGCAGUGGGGAAUAUUGCGCAAUGGCCGCAAGGCUGACGCAGCGACGCCGCGUGGGGGGAUGAAGCAUUUCGGUGUGUAAACCCCUGUUGCUCGGGACGAACAACCCUUUUCGAGGGGUCUGACGGUACCGGGUGAGGAAGCACCGGCUAACUCCGUGCCAGCAGCCGCGGUAA
rnacentral:rRNA from 1 species